GUGAGACAGGUGCUGCAUGGCUGUCGUCAGCUCGUGUUGUGAAAUGUUGGGUUAAGUCCCGCAACGAGCGCAACCCUUAUCCUUUGUUGCCAGCGGUCCGGCCGGGAACUCAAAGGAGACUGCCAGUGAUAAACUGGAGGAAGGUGGGGAUGACGUCAAGUCAUCAUGGCCCUUACGACCAGGGCUACACACGUGCUACAAUGGCGCAUACAAAGAGAAGCGACCUCGCGAGAGCAAGCGGACCUCAUAAAGUGCGUCGUAGUCCGGAUUGGAGUCUGCAACUCGACUCCAUGAAGUCGGAAUCGCUAGUAAUCGUGGAUCAGAAUGCCACGGUGAAUACGUUCCCGGGCCUUGUACACACCGCCCGUCACACCAUGGGAGUGGGUUGCAAAAGAAGUAGGUAGCUUAACCUUCGGGAGGGCGCUUACCACUUUGUGAUUCAUGACUGGGGUGAAGUCGUAACAAGGUAACCGUAGGGGAACCU
rnacentral:rRNA from 1 species